AGAGUUUGAUCAUGGCUCAGAAUCAACGCUGGCGGCGUGCCUAACACAUGCAAGUCGCACGAGAAAGGGACUUCGGUCCUGAGUACAGUGGCGCACGGGUGAGUAACACGUGAAUAAUCUACCUCCGAGUGGGGAAUAACUGAGAGAAAUCUUAGCUAAUACCGCAUAACACUUACGAGUCAAAGCAGCAAUGCGCUUGGAGAGGAGUUCGCGGCAGAUUAGUUAGUUGGCGGGGUAAUGGCCCACCAAGACGAUGAUCUGUAUCCGGCCUGAGAGGGCGCACGGACACACUGGAACUGAAACACGGUCCAGACUCCUACGGGAGGCAGCAGUGGGGAAUUUUGCGCAAUGGGGGAAACCCUGACGCAGCAACGCCGCGUGGAGGAUGAAAUCCCUUGGGAUGUAAACUCCUUUCGAUCGGGAAGAUAAUGACGGUACCGAGAGAAGAAGCCCCGGCUAACUUCGUGCCAGCAGCCGCGGUAAUACGAGGGGGGCAAGCGUUGUUCGGAAUUAUUGGGCGUAAAGGGUGCGUAGGCGGUUUGAUAAGUCACAUGUGAAAUCUUCGGGCUCAACCCGAAGUCUGCAUGCGAAACUGUCGGGCUUGAGUAUGGGAGAGGUGAGUGGAAUUUCCGGUGUAGCGGUGAAAUGCGUAGAUAUCGGAAGGAACACCUGUGGCGAAAGCGGCUCACUGGACCAUAACUGACGCUGAUGCACGAAAGCUAGGGGAGCAAACAGGAUUAGAUACCCUAGUAGUCC
rnacentral:rRNA from 1 species